rnacentral:miRNA from 1 species
AUAUAUAUGUAUGUAUGUAUGUAUAUAUAUAUACACAUAUACACACACGUACAUAUAUAUACAUAUAUAUAUAUACACACACAUAUAUAUAUAUAUAUAUACAUACA